GUCUAUCGGAAGAAAUAAAAAUAAAUUGCGAGCAGGUUCAGCAAAUGCCCAGAUAAAUCCUGCAAUGACCACAUGGAGUAGAUGCGUUUCUGGUAGCUGGUGAUGCCUGAAAAGGGUGAGGCAACAGAGGAGCAAUCUGGAAGCAAAGGUUGCUCGCCCAUCAGUCUUUGUCACUCCCUCCCGGAGCGCGGAGCGGAGACAACCACCGCCAACUGGAAAUCUGAGCAUGGCUUGUGGGAGAGAUCACCAUGACUUUGGCCCUGGUACCUGGUGACUGAGCUCUAUGGAACAGCAAAGAGAUGGUGACUAGGCCAAGAGCAAGGUAUCCACACCACUUCUGAUACCCUUUAUCAGCUGAGAUGCAAAUGGCUAACAGAGCUCAAUCGUCUGGACAAUCUCUUCUUCCAGAAGAACCUCCUUCCGAUGGUAAAAUGAAGAGUAAUUUUAUCCUGUU